rnacentral:piRNA from 2 species
UGGACAUAAAGCCUGCAUUUGCUAUUAAGCC